GCUGAUAUGGCUCAGGAGGUAGAGCGCAUCCUUGGUAAGGAUGAGGUCACCGGUUCGACUCCGGUUAUCAGCUCCA
rnacentral:tRNA from 1 species